GAUAUACCAUGGCAUCAAGUUAAGACAACUAAGAAAGGAAUGUUGCAAAAUUUUGUAGAGGAACAAAUGCUAGACCUUAACUUUCAACUUCCUAAGGGUUUACUUGACGGGCCGUGGCUGAUGAUGUAUUUAGAAAAGUGAUUGGAAAAUACAAACAUGGUAGCGCUCACAUGUACAGGCUACGUGUUUGAGCUUCAGAUAUUUGGGGUGUCUUGCAAAGUCGCUCUCCCUGUUAUAGGGAGAACAUGCUAUGGAAAAGGGCAUAUAAAGCUGUUAGCAACGAAGUAGAUGAUUUGAAAGCUAUGAUAUUAGAGAUGCGAGGGUCGAAUGAAAAUACUUCUAGUGCUUCAAGUGUUCCUGUGACAUCAAUAGAUCGUCCUCAAGCAACCACCAAACUUCAACCUCUAAAGAAAAUGGAGCUUAAUGGGUUACAGAUAUAAAUUUCCCUGGUCUAAUUGCUCGAUGAAUGAUCCCAAUGGAGACAACCAGUGAUAUGCACCAAGUCUAACUUCUUCACUGUUUGUGCUGCUGGCUCCAUAUGCAUGAUUUGCCUCUGCAUCACAUCAUGAGUUAAACCUUGCAUCAAGGGUACCAGUCAUGCUUAAUCAUUCCAUGAAUCUUGUCUCAUCACACUUUCUCACCACUGUUCU